UCGAAAAACCUCCCCAAGCAAAACUUAGCGACUCUAAACUAUAAUAGACCUGUAAUACGUAACUAAAACAAUUGGUCCUUAGGCCUAUAUUGAAGUAUAUUGACUGUCUACUUACGAAUCUACUGGGAUAUUCAUAGAUCUAGCUAGCUUUUUGAAAAUAUAAACAGGUGAAAACUAUCAAGAAGACGAUCAGAUGACAAUCCAAUUUGUCAUGAUGUGAUGACAUAGACAUAGGGAAAUAUCAAUGCUAGCAGCUAGUCACUGAUAGGUACAGUAAAUUCCUACACAUCAGAAUGGAAUAAUCUUUGUGCUCAAAUAUGGCAUGCUCUGUCUGAGUACAUUCACAACCUAUAAAAGACAAGAGGAAAUAAAGGUCGAUAAAACUAAGGUGUCCAAAUUGAAAAGUUUCGAGUUUGAACCCCGGGAACAGCAACCCAUAUAAAAGUGAAAACAACAAAAUCAAACAAUUUCCGCCUUGUAGUAAUUCCUUUGAUGAACAAAGCAGAUCUAUAAAGAAAAGCAAACUGAAAUCGGAGUUACUAGGCAGUAUAAUAUGGCGCUUAACAUGUUGAAACACAAUACUUAAUUGUGUUGUAGAACAUCCCCUCUAGCACAAAA